GUUGUCUAGUGGUUAGAAUUCCAGGUUUUCACUGCCAUAGCCUGGGUUCAAUCCCUGGUUAGGGGACUGAUAUCCUGCAAGCUAUGUGGUGUGCCAAAAAAAAAAAAAAAAGGAGAAGAAACUUUUUUAA